rnacentral:rRNA from 1 species
GACGAACGCUGGCGGCGUGCUUAACACAUGCAAGUCGAACGGAAAGGCCUGCUUUCCCUUGUGGAUUUCGGGUACUCGAGUGGCGAACGGGUGAGUAACACGUGAGUGAUCUGCCCCCAACUUGGGUAUAAGCCUGGGAAACUGGGUCUAAUUCCCGAUAGGACUGCAGGGUGGUGCCUGUGGUGGAAAACGAUUUUCUAGUGGUUGGGGAUGAGCCCGCGGCCUAUCAGCUUGUUGGUGGGGUAAUGGCCUACCAAGGCGGCGACGGGUAGCCUGCCUGAGAAUGUGGACGGCGACAUUGGGACUGAGAUACGGCCCAGGCACCAGCGGGAGGCAUCGGUUGGUAAUAGUGCACAAGGGACGGAAACUUGAAGCGUCGACACCGCGGGGGGGAUGACGGCCGUCGGGUUUUAAACUCCUUUCGACCGCGAGGAAGCCACCUGGUUGGAAGGGUGGUGACGGUAGUGGAAGAAGAAGCACCGGCUAACUACGUG